GAACGCACUCGUACUUUCAGUG
rnacentral:miRNA from 1 species